UCACUUCGGCAGCAACUACACUAAAAUUGGAACGAUACAGAGAAGAUUAGCAUGGCCCCUGUGCAAGGAUGACAUGCAAUACCUUGUAAGGACUGUGUUUUGU